CGUCUAUAUACGUAUAGCAUAUCAAUAAGCGGAGGAAAAGAAACUAACAAGGAUUCCCUUAGUAACGGCGAGUGAAGCGGGAAGAGCUCAAAUUUGAAAUCUUCAAGGUUCUACCUUGACGAAUUGUAGUUUAUAGAAGUGUUUUCUGUUAGUAGAGUGGCAAAAGUUCUUUGGAAUAGGACAUCAUAGAGGGUGAGAAUCCCGUAUUUGGUCAUUCUUUCUAGCUUUGUGAUACACUUUCAACGAGUCGGAUUGUUUGGGAAUGCAGUCCAAAAUGGGUGGUAAAUUUCAUCUAAAGCUAAAUAUUGGCGAGAGACCGAUAGCGAACAAGUACCGUGAGGGAAAGAUGAAAAGAACUUUGAAAAGAGAGUUAAACAGUACGUGAAAUUGUCAAAAGGGAAGCGUUUGACACCAGUGUUGUUUUUCCGAAAAUCAAUUACGAAUGUUUUGUUUUUAAGAAGUUAUGACUUCAUCGGCUUGCUUCUUUCUUUACGAAACUUUCUUAAUGCACUUUUCGGUUAACAAGUCAACAUCAAUUUCUUUUGUUGUAAGAGGGUAUGAGGAAGGUGGCUUUCUUUUCGGAGAAAGUGUUUAUAGCCUUGUACCUCUGCAAUCGGAGAGAUUGAGGUCUGCAGCGUAGAUCCUUCGGGGUUAGAUACAUUUGUGCUAAGUUAUAGCUUUUCAUAGACAACUUGUUGACUAUGUUAAGUCUUGUAGCUUACUCGCUUAUGCUAUUUUACCUACGCUUAGGAUGUUGAUAUGCAUGACUGAUAU
rnacentral:rRNA from 1 species